AUUGAACGCUGGCGGCAGGCCUAACACAUGCAAGUCGAACGGUAACAGGAAACAGCUUGCUGUUUCGCUGACGAGUGGCGGACGGGUGAGUAAUGUCUGGGAAACUGCCAGAUGGAGGGGGAUAACUACUGGAAACGGUAGCUAAUACCGCAUAACGUCGCAAGACCAAAGAGGGGGACCUUCGGGCCUCUUGCCAUCGGAUGUGCCCAGAUGGGAUUAGCUAGUAGGUGGGGUAACGGCUCACCUAGGCGACGAUCCCUAGCUGGUCUGAGAGGAUGACCAGCCACACUGGAACUGAGACACGGUCCAGACUCCUACGGGAGGCAGCAGUGGGGAAUAUUGCACAAUGGGCGCAAGCCUGAUGCAGCCAUGCCGCGUGUAUGAAGAAGGCCUUCGGGUUGUAAAGUACUUUCAGCGGGGAGGAAGGGAGUAAAGUUAAUACCUUUGCUCAUUGACGUUACCCGCAGAAGAAGCACCGGCUAACUCCGUG
rnacentral:rRNA from 1 species